rnacentral:rRNA from 1 species
AUUGAACGCUGGCGGCAGGCCUAACACAUGCAAGUCGAACGAGUGGCGGACGGGUGAGUAAUGUCUGGGAAACUGCCCGAUGGAGGGGGAUAACUACUGGAAACGGUAGCUAAUACCGCAUACCAUCGGAUGUGCCCAGAUGGGAUUAGCUAGUAGGUGGGGUAACGGCUCACCUAGGCGACGAUCCCUAGCUGGUCUGAGCGGAUGACCAGCCCCACUGGAACUGAGACACGGUCCAGACGCGUUCAAUACUCCGCCAUCAUCAAUAUUGCACAAUGUGCGCAAGCCUGAUACAGCCAUGCCGCGUGUAUGAAGAACACCUUCGGGUUUUAAAGUACUUUCAGCGAGGAGGCGUUACUCGCAGAAGAAGCACCGGCUAACUCCGUGCCAGCAGCCGCGGUAAUAC